UACGUAGGGGGGCUAGCGUUGUCCGGAAUCAUUGGGCGUAAAGCGCGUGUAGGCGGUCCGGUAAGUCCGCUGUGAAAGUCGGGGGGCUCAACCCUCGGAUGCCGGUGGAUACUGUCGGGCUUGAGUACGGAAGAGGGUCUCGGAAUUCCCGGUGUAGAGGUGAAAUUCGUAGAUAUCGGGAGGAACACCAGUGGCGAAGGCGGAGACCUGGGCCGAUACUGACGCUGAGGUGCGAAAGCGUGGGGAGCAAACAGG
rnacentral:rRNA from 1 species